ensembl:lncRNA
GGCCACUCUUUAAUAAGAAUGCAUUAUUUCUGCACACUAAACGCUUGGACCGAGACUUGGUUUGGGGGUGAAGAGUGGAGCUGUGGUCAGGGAGAGGUUAACUGGCUCGUGCGCUCUGGUGGCUGGGCAGGCGCGGAGCUGCGGCGCGCUGACGCGGGGAUGGAGAGCUCAGAUGCGCUGCUGCUCCGCCAGGAUCCCGCGGCCCGGGCCGACCUUUCCCUACUGCUUUCAACGCUCUUCUGCGCCGGAACUUUACAUCACGGUUCAUCAGGCAUUUCCUGGACUUCCUGGUUUCUUGGCCCAGUCCAGCUGAGAGUCCACCUGCUCCGCUCAGAGAUCCAGCUCACUUUCCCAUGACGGCUGGACUCAAUUAUCGGCUCAGAAAAACCACCGCGUUGAGGUGAAUUUAGAUGUGAUUGUCUGCCGAAUGGAGAAAAAGAGUCCAGCGCUACAGUGACAGAUUCUUGGGGUUUCCUGGUGUGGAGUCCCCAAAGAAAAGAUACAUCAAUAGGGAGACACUCAUGCUCCUUUUCUUUUGGAUCUGGACUGCAGAUUGCAACAGAUUGGACAUCUGGAAAGCCGGCAGGAUUCCCAGUUUUUCUUUUCUUCAUGUUUGAUCCUGCCGUCUUCCUCAUCCUGCUGGAGCAGAGGAGCCUUUCCCUCAAGGAUCAUACAAGACUAUUUGUGGAAACCGCCAACUAUACCCUCUACCUGGACUACUGCAGUUGUCCGGAGAUGGUCCUUGAGGGAAUUUUGCCCGCUUUUGUGGAAUGGGUGCUGGUGUCCUGUGGAUCGCCUCUGAUUGUGGACAUCGCGGAUGACACCAGCCCCACUCCGGACCCAGAGCCCAGCCCACAAUCUCCCCGCUGCGCAGAGCCUAAGCCAAAGCCCACCGCUGAUGGAGAGCCAGAGCCCACUGCGACUGAUGAGCCAUUGCCAUGGAGAGCGACAGAGCUGAGGAUCGCCUCGGAGCUUAAGCCUGACCAGUCAGACCAGGUGCGAAAGCCGGCAACAGAGCUUGCCACGGUGGAGAAUGCUAUGAAUGGCGAGAGCACGGAGGGAAGCUCCACCCACUGCAUCAUGGCUGAGGGUGAGCAGCUCUCUAUGGACAAUAAUGAGGAUCUUAUUAAUCUGGAUAUAGAUGCAAACAUGCCUGUUCUGCUUCCGCCUUCAUCUGAGCUCUCUAGCUACCCUGAACUAUAUACAUGCCUGGAUUUUCCACCCACCCUCCCUCUCUUGCCUCCUCCUAUCAUCCCUACCGCUUCAUCUCCGUCACCGCUGUGUCCUGGCAGACCCUCAGCUCAAACCUCAGCCCACCAUCUAUGCACUGGAUUCGCCGCGGGUCUGCCACUCUCUAUUGGCGUCAUGGCUGUAGGAUCCCUUGUCUCCGCCUCCAGCCUCUGAGUCCUGGACUCCGCCUUGGCCCUUCGACCCAGAGGCUCCACCAUGCUCCCUCGUCCCUC